rnacentral:tmRNA from 3 species
GGGAGUGAAAGUUUUGACAAAUAGCUUUGCUAAAAUUAUGCAGAUCCAGCUUGGAAAACUGGCUAAACUUUCCAAAAUCUUAAUAAGUGCCAACUUAUUCAAGAAACCAGCAUUAGCAUUUGCUUAAUGCUCAUUCCUCCCGGCGACUCCCGAUAGCCGGCCAGGAGUGUCAUAAAAAUCGGGGUAGGCAGUCCUUUUUCCUUAGAAGAACUGCUGAAAUCAAAAAGGAUAGGAUACCGAAGUUUUGCCAGUCUUUUUAUCCGGCAUCCGAAUUAUUCAAGACCGGCUAAAUCUGUAGAUUAAUUUUAACAAUCUUUUUGGACGGGAGCUCACCCUCCCCACUUCCACCC